ACUCAAAGGAAUUGACGGGGGCCCGCACAAGCGGCGGAGCAUGCGGAUUAAUUCGAUGCAACGCGAAGAACCUUACCUGGGUUUGACAUGCACUAGACGACAUCAGAGAUGGUGUUUCCUUUUUGGCUGGUGUGCAGGUGGUGCAUGGCUGUCGUCAGCUCGUGUCGUGAGAUGUUGGGUUAAGUCCCGCAACGAGCGCAACCCUCGUCCUAUGUUGCCAGCACGUAAUGGUGGGGACUCAUAGGAGACUGCCGGGGUCAACUCGGAGGAAGGUGGGGAUGACGUCAAGUCUUCAUGCCCCUUAUGUCCAGGGCUUCACGCAUGCUACAAUGGCCGGUACAGACCGCUGCGAUCCCGCGAGGGUGAGCGAAUCGGAAAAAGCCGGUCUCAGUUCGGAUUGGGGUCUGCAACUCGACCCCAUGAAGUCGGAGUCGCUAGUAAUCGCAGAUCAGCAACGCUGCGGUGAAUACGUUCCCGGGCCUUGUACACACCGCCCGU
rnacentral:rRNA from 1 species